CUUUCCUGGAAAAAAGGCAGAGAAGCAUAUUUUGAAAUAAGCAAGCCUACGUGACAAACUGAGCCGAGCCACAAAAACAGGUUGCUCACCUGUAACUCUUGAUCUGGAAGUGAUCUGUUGUACUCAUAAUGAAAUGGGUUCUGAGCCUGUGCACGGACUUCGCGGGUAGACUAACUAGCUCCUCGAGACACCUACUCUGCCCUGCAUGUGCUCCAUGCUUUCAUUGCAAACGGCAGUUGUGGGUGUUACAUCCUCAAUUUCUUGCAGACCGCCUGUUCCUGACGAUCUGUCUCGUUACUGAUAAUAUAGGAAAGCCCGGCGGACAUCCAGAGAAUGUAGUGCCCUUUCUAAGGCUGUUUCCAGUUUUUGUAAGAAGUUAAACCGAGGAGCCAAUACCAAGGUAUAGACGCUUUGGCGGUCAAACAGAAACUGAGGAUGUAACGCCCCCAACUGCCGUUUACGAGAAAACAGAGCACGUGCAGGGCAGAGUGGGCGUCUCGAGGAGCUAGUUAGUCUACCUGCGAGGUCUCUGCACAGGUGCAGAACCCAUUUCAUUAUGAAUGCAACGGAUUAGGAUCCAGAUCACCUGAGUUAUGUUAUGAAAUAGCAAGGACAAUUAUAAUAAGAAAUAUUUCUUAUUUACACAGUGCCAUCAAUCUGUUACUACGAUGUGUCAUUUAAUUCACACAAAAUGAGGAUGAGGGAGGGACCUUCGUCCAAGGUGCUGUCAAGAAAUGUAUCAGUGAGGGAACUAAAGGAGUGGGGCUCAUUAAAACCCCAUAUGAACACAGUUGCAUGCUGUUAUUUAUUGCAUUUAUAGAAUGCCUAACAACCGAGUCUCAUGGCG